UCCACAACACCAUGGGAUCCCGCAAAGGCCUACUUGUUCGUCCCCGUGACUGACAACACGAAAGGGAUCAACUGGGAACUAAUUGAAAAGAUAACUGAGACCACCGUGUGGGACAACCCGCUUCAGAGAGCUCGUCCUGAUGUGUACCUUGGGACUAACGAGAGAACUCUUGGUGGGGACAGGAGGGAGUAUGGGUUUGGUAAACUUCGUAACAACAUUGGAUUGGGGCAGCAGAAAUCUCACCCGACUUAUGGUAUUAGAGGAGCGGUUGCAUCUUUUGAUGUCGUGAGAGCUUCUGGAUUGUUACCUGUGAGAGAGGAAGUAAGAAGUGAUGUAUCACAAGGGAAACUGAUGAUGGCAGAUGGGUGCAUGGUUGCAGAUAAUCUAAUAGGGAAAAUAGUGACGGCCGCACAUUCAGGGAAGCGGUUUUAUGUGGACUCUAUAUGCUACGAUAUGAGUGCAGAAACAUCAUUCCCGAGGAAAGAGGGGUAUCUUGGUCCUUUGGAAUACAACACUUACGCUGACUACUAUAAGCAAAAGUAUGUUUUCAACUUUUUUUAAAUUGUUUAUAAGGUUUAUUUAUAGAGAAGCAGUCUAGUAAUAUUUUUCUGUUAUUUAUGAGGACUUACAUGGCCUCAGUUCACCUCCUGUGUUGUGCAAGACUAAGAAGCAAAGCAUGUUUGUGUAUAUCAUUUGUAAUAUAAGACAUGCUUUUCUUCUUCUUCUUGCACAACCUGAGGUAGUAACUGGGGCUAUCAAGUCUUCUCCUUUUGUAUCUAUUAGGUAUGGAGUUGAUUUAAACUGUAAGCAACAACCUUUGAUCAAAGGACGAGGUGUUUCGUAUUGCAAGAACCUUCUUUCUCCUCGGUUUGAACAGUCAGGUACUAAGAAAUUUAUUUUCUCUUGAAAAUUUAUUGAUUUUAAUUGGUAGAUUAACACUUUUAAAAAUUGCAAUUGAAGGUGAAUCUGAGACGAUACUUGAUAAAACAUAUUACGUGUUUCUUCCACCUGAGCUGUGCGUUGUGCAUCCGCUUUCGGGUUCACUUGUCCGAGGGGCUCAGAGGUUGCCCUCUAUAAUGAGAAGAGUUGAGAGCAUGUUGCUCGCUGUUCAGCUGAAAAACUUGAUUAGUUAUCCCAUUCCAACUUCAAAGGUAUUGUUUUGUUUAUUAUUAUGAUUAGUUAGAAUCUUGUUGUUACUAAACAUUUUAGUAUAUAUAUGUGUAGAUUCUGGAAGCGUUGACAGCAGCCUCGUGCCAGGAGACGUUCUGCUACGAGAGAGCAGAACUCUUAGGAGAUGCGUAUCUGAAAUGGAUCGUUAGUCGUUUUCUGUUUCUCAAGUACCCGCAGAAGCACGAGGGUCAGCUUACGAGGAUGAGACAGCAGAUGGUCAGCAACAUGGUUCUUUACCAGUACGCUCUUCUCAAAGGGCUCCAGUCAUACAUUCAAGCGGAUCGUUUCGCACCUUCUAGGUGGUCUGCUCCCGGCGUGCCUCCCGUUUACGACGAGGACACCAAAGACGGAGGAGGAGGAUCUUCCUUCUUCGACGAAGAGCAGAAACAAGCCUCCUCCGAGGACGUGUUUGAAGAUGGGGAGAUGGAGGAUGGCGAGCUAGAGGGUGACUUGAGCUCUUACCGAGUCCUAUCUAGCAAGACGUUGGCUGAUGUUGUUGAAGCUUUGAUCGGUGUUUACUACGUGGAAGGAGGUAAAGCUGCUGCGAACCAUUUGAUGAAAUGGAUUGGGAUCCACGUGGAGGAUGAUCCCGAAGAAACCGAAGGGGCCGUGAAACCGGUUAGUGUUCCGGAGAGCGUGCUCAAGAGCAUAGACUUUGUUGGUUUAGAGAGAGCUUUGAAGUACGAGUUUACGGAGAAAGGUCUUCUUGUGGAAGCUAUCACGAAUGGAUUGUUUUAUCCUCUUGUGGUCUUAGGUAUGCGAUUCUUCGACCUGAGUUCAGCAUGGAGAAACAUGAAAAGCCUGGGGGACACACCGAGUAUUCAUGCAGGCUUCAGCUCCCUUGCAACGCUCCAUUUGAAAUACUCGAGGGUCCUCUUUGUAGUUCAAUGCGCCUUGCACAACAGGUGGACUUAAUAAUUUCUUUUUUAAGAAUCUUAUUCGUUUAGUAUCUUUCCCUGUUCCAUGUUUUUUUAAAGUAAUGUUUGUUUGAUAUGUAGGCUGUAUGUCUAGCUGGUUGCAAGAAACUGCACGAGAUGGGCGCAUUUACGGAUAUGCUGUUACCGGACAAGGGAAGUGGUCAAGACGCUGAGAAGGCUGACCAGGAUGAAGAAGGUGAACCCGUUCCUGGAACUGCUAGACACAGAGAGUUCUAUCCAGAAGGUGUAGCAGAUGUACUUAAGGGAGAUUGGAUUUUAUCAGGAAAGGAAGAUUGUGAGAGCUCAAAGCUAUUCCAUCUAUACAUGUACAGUGUUAGAUGUGAAGAUUCUGGGUCUUCAAAAGACCCAUUCUUAACCGAAGUUUCAGAGUUCGCGGUUCUUUUUGGCAAUGAGCUGGAUGCAGAGGUUCUUGAUUCCCAUUCUACACGGUUUUGAGUUGUAUAAUUUGUUUAUGUUUUAAUGGUUUUACUGUGGCAGGUAUUAUCGAUGUCUAUGGAUCUUUAUGUUGCUCGAGCCAUGAUCACCAAAGCAUCUCUUGUUUUCAAGGGAUCACUGGAUAUUACAGAAAGCCAGGUUUGAUUUAAGAAUAACCCUUUACAUUUAAAAGACUCUUUUAUCUUAAUAUUAUAAUUGCCAUCUUCUUGUGCAGCUAUCAUCUAUUAAAAAGUUUCAUGUGAGGUUGAUGAGUAUAGUCUUAGAUGUUGAUGUCGAGCCCUCCACAACACCAUGGGAUCCCGCAAAGGCCUACUUGUUCGUCCCCGUGACUGACAACACGAAAGGGAUCAACUGGGAACUAAUUGAAAAGAUAACUGAGACCACCGUGUGGGACAACCCGCUUCAGAGAGCUCGUCCUGAUGUGUACCUUGGGACUAACGAGAGAACUCUUGGUGGGGACAGGAGGGAGUAUGGGUUUGGUAAACUUCGUAACAACAUUGGAUUGGGGCAGCAGAAAUCUCACCCGACUUAUGGUAUUAGAGGAGCGGUUGCAUCUUUUGAUGUCGUGAGAGCUUCUGGAUUGUUACCUGUGAGAGAGGAAGUAAGAAGUGAUGUAUCACAAGGGAAACUGAUGAUGGCAGAUGGGUGCAUGGUUGCAGAUAAUCUAAUAGGGAAAAUAGUGACGGCCGCACAUUCAGGGAAGCGGUUUUAUGUGGACUCUAUAUGCUACGAUAUGAGUGCAGAAACAUCAUUCCCGAGGAAAGAGGGGUAUCUUGGUCCUUUGGAAUACAACACUUACGCUGACUACUAUAAGCAAAAGUAUGUUUUCAACUUUUUUUAAAUUGUUUAUAAGGUUUAUUUAUAGAGAAGCAGUCUAGUAAUAUUUUUCUGUUAUUUAUGAGGACUUACAUGGCCUCAGUUCACCUCCUGUGUUGUGCAAGA
rnacentral:lncRNA from 1 species